rnacentral:rRNA from 1 species
UGGGUCCGACCUGCCCAGUGAACUUUUUAACGGCCGCAGUACCCUGACUGUGCAAAGGUAGCAUAAUAAUUUGUCUUAUAAUUGAAGACUAGAAUGAACGGUCAAAUGCAAAUAAAACUGUCUCUUAUGCAAAACUAAAAAUUAAUUUAUUGGUCCAAAAGCCAACAUUUAAUAAAUAGACGAGAAGACCCUAUUGAGCUUAAUUUUUACUUAUAUUUAGUUAACUUAUCUAUAAUAAUAAAAUUUUGUUGGGGCGACAAAGGAACUUAUUUAGCUUCCUUUAAAACUUUAAUAUCAAAAUUAAACCGAUCCGUUUAUCACGAUCAAAAAACAAGUUACCAUAGGGAUAACAGCAUAAUUCUUUUCAAGAGCCCAAAUCGAAAAAAGAGUUUGUGACCUCGAUGUUGGACUAAGGUAAUUAUAAAGCGCAGCCGCUUUUUAAAAUAGUCUGNUCGACUAAUAG